CCUCCUCGUUGGGUGAGACCUGGUAAUUGGCAUCGUUUUCUAAAAAUUGUUUUUUUCAAAAUUAUACAACAAUUACAUUACAGUAUUUUAUUAGAAAAUUUUUGAAAUAUAUAUACUGCUUCAGAAAACGAUGGCAAGCCAAGAACUACGCACACCUGCAGUCCAGUCUAAACUCUGCAUAAUUUCUUUUGAUUAUUUUAAUUAAUUGGAUAGACUGGACUGUAGGUAUUAAUAGAAUAAUUAAUAAAUUAUAUUAAUUAAUUAAGUUCAUUGUAAGUGUAUUCCGUAUCAAAAUAAAUUCUACAAUUUAAAGCGAAAAAAGCUUAGAUUGUAGAUGAUAAUAAAUGAAUAAGCGUAUAUAUACAUAACUAGACAAAUAAAUAAUCGCUAAAUCGAUAAUCGAUAAUCGAUAAAUAAAUCAAUACAUAAUUGAAUUAAUAAAACAAUCAUAAAUAUAGAAGUCAGAUAUAUAGAAUAAUAAAUAUUAAAAAUAUUAAGAAAAUUAGUAAAAUAUAAAUAAAAAUUAGUAAUAUAUAAAUAAAUUAAUAUAUUUAUCUAUUUUUAAUUAGAAUAGUAAAAAUAUAAUGUGAAAUAUUUUAAUUUUUCGCGCGAUUUCGAUUAUCGAAUUGGCUUAAAACAAUCAGCCAAUCAGAAAACGCCAAUUUGAGUUGUAGCAGGUGGCGUCAGUCUCCUGUGGAAAAUCAUCAUGAUAGGACGUAUGAUCGCAACCGCUCUCGCUAAUUCUACGCAUUAUUUUCAGAUUAAUAGUCCAACUUCAAAGAGGGGAAGAAUUGCAAUAUGGACGUCAAUCGUACUUUUUCAAAGAGAAGUUUGAUUUUUCGCUCUUGUACAUUGGUUUCAGGUAUAGGUUAAUUCUCAUUACCGGACUAUGUAUUCAGGAAAUAUGGUUUUUGAAAUUAUCAUCGGUUCAAAAUGGAUAACUAAUGAAAGCAUAUUCGUAUUUCAUUUACUUCUCGUUGUUUGAUUGAAAUUUUUCUGUGGAUGGGCUCUCCGAACUUUUUAGGCUUAGCAUUAGCGUUAGACGAGCAUUUAGAACAUUAGAAUGGAAUUUGACGAAAUUAUUCUGAGUUGGUAUUUCUUAAAAAUAAUAUCAGCCAAAUUGCAUUUAGGAUAAAUUUAAUUAAAUUUAUGGAUGGAUGAAUUUUUUAAAAUAUGAGAUAACGUAUGGAAGUGUUGCUUCGAGUAAAAUAUAUUUGCGAUUGCAUGUAUACUUUUAUUGUAAUGUAAUAUAUACAUGUUAUAUAAUGUAUAUAUUAUUGUUAUAAUAAUAAUAAUGUCGUUGUGUGGUAAUAGUAGCGUUGAUGGGGAAAGUGUUGCUUUUUUUUUUUAUGCAAGUUUGUAAUUAUUAAUAUUUUAUACUUUCAUGACAAUGAAUGUAUAAAAUGUUGGUAUAUUUGUUGUAUGCGAUGUGUGUCUCUUGUAUAGAAUUACGUACAAUUAGAUUAUUGGAGAAUUUAAUUUUUACCUUUAGGUUUAUCUUAAUUACGCAGGCUUUUUCUUUUAGGAUUUUUGUUAUUUGUUUUGCAAAACGAUCAGUGAUUGAAUGUUUUGCGAAAUGUUCUAGUUAUAAGCAAAAUUCAUGGGUAUUGUAUAUUUAUAUGUUUAUUCAUAUAUUUGAUAGUUAGAUCAAUGAUAAUAUUUAGAUCAGGAUAUCUCGUAAUGGAAUUGUGUUUUAUAGAAAGGCAAAUUAGAUAUCUGUUAGAUUUGUUUCUUAUUUAUUUCUUAUAUUGUUUGUUUAGGUUUUUGUUAAAUGAAUAUAUCAUACUUUCAAUUCGUAAUAAAUAUAUGAACAUUUUUUUUUGUAAUGUUUAUAUGUAGUAGCAAAUAAUUUAAUUUUUCAAAGUCGAUAUUUCAGAACAUAGGAUUUCACAUUUUAAAUGUCAAUGUAGGUCCAUAGUCAUGAAUUUAUGGUACUCAACUUCCAUAUCGACUUUGUUUGAUAUUAAUUUCAGUAUUUUGUGCUAGGUCUCGCUACCAUCCUAUUCUGUUUUGUUGGUAACGAUGUGAGUGAGACGAAAAUGGUAAUGUUUUAGGAAUUUGGGCUGUAUAUAUUUCUGAUUUAAUUUGCUUUUAAGAUCUUUUUUGCUGUUUAUUUUACGAUUAAAAAUUAAAGUUUUUAUUAAUCUACGUUAAAAAAAAAUUCAUCAUUGAUAUUGAUUGAAUUUUUAUGCAAUAGGGAUGAAUGGGAUUGUGGAUAUGGUAGAUUUCUUCAAUUCGCGGUUAUAGUCUGGAAAUUACUAUACAAUUCAUAAUUGUAUUCGCGAUAAUUUGAGCAAUAAUGAUUACAAAAUAAUUGUCUUGUAAUUUUUUCCAUCAGUUUGCUAUUUAUAAUGUAUUAAGCAUUAUUUAUGAGAAUUUUCCACGUAUCUAUUAUCGUCAAAAUAUUGUGGAAGGGAGGAGUCUUCAAUAAGAAAAUUAACAAACAUGAUAUCGUUCUUGAUAAGUGUUCUUUAUUUUUUGUAAAAUUAUACAGCCAAAAUAAUGUCAUAAUUUGCAAUGCAAAAUUUAAGAACAUAGACAUUCGAUUCGCGUUUCUUUUUUUGAACGACACGUGGACAUUUUGUUACAUUACUAAAUACGUAUACCGUGCUAAAAUAAUUUUAUAUGUCUUUCCUUGCUCGACGUCAAUUUAAUUUAAGACAUAGAGGAAAAAUGAUUAAAACGCGAUACGCCUCCGUUCGCGCGGAAAUGAUACGCUUCAACCAACGAAAAGCCACUUAAACUAUCUUGUAGGUGUUCUUUAUUCUUUGUAAAAUCAUACAGCAUAAGCGACCGCAGUCUACACAGUGUAAUUAAGCGAGAUACAAGUGACAUGAUCGUUCAACGAUCGGGCAAACGACGACCAGGGUGCCGGUGCAUUCGUACGACGUUCACAGACAGAAAAAAAUUUUAUACUCUAUUUUAUUUUAUGUUGUUAUUAUUAUAAUUAUUAUUAAUAUUAUUAUUAUUAAUAUUAUUAUUAGUAUUAUUAUUAUUAAUAUUAAUAUUAUUAUUAUUAUAUUAUUAUUAUUAUUAUUUUAAAUUAUUCGGCACACUGCUAUCGCAUCGUUCGCCCUACGAAUACAGACACACACACACUUGUGAAUUCAGGUGGUUCGAAAUGCGCAAAGUCUUUCGUAAAAAUUUUACACAAGAAUGUCUGUCGUCCCCCGCGAUGAGCGCAAUUCAAAGGAAAGAAACUUAACGAUUAACUCUGAAAAUACAGACAAAUGUAAAUACACGUACAUCUAAGCCCUAAGAAAAAACUAGAAUCUUCUGCUGGGUUAAUUAUCUAAAAUAUAAUAUAUAUGUGUAUGUACUUUUUUUUUCUCAAUUUUUCUUUUUCCACCUAAACGAUUAUCAAAGUUGCACUGCCGGCAAUUAAAUAUCGAGCGAUGUUUAUGGAUGAAUAAUCGAAAUGAAAAUCGGCAUUUGUACAAAUAGCUCUGUGGUACGUAAAAUUUGAUUUCCCUACUAUAAUAUAGGUAUAUAAUAUACAUAUAUAUUUAUAUGUUAUAUAAUAUAUAUAAUAGCUAAUAAAUAAUCCUUAGUUAAUUUUAAUUAGUUAAAUCCCGCUUUAAAUCUGACGGUAUCUAUCCAACGCUUAAAAUAUUAAAUCACUUAUAUAUUUUAUACGUCGUCCGCAAUUUUUCAAAAAGGAAAAGAAACACUCGUCCUCCUCUCUGUUUUAUUUCGUUAACUGCUAUAUUCUUAUUUAAUAAUGAUUUACAAUUAUGUAAAUUUGACAUUUUAUCAAUUGCAUUUAAAUCGUCAUUCGUGGAACAAAAUAUCGUAGUUCGCGAAAAAUUCGAUGGAGUUCGACGAGAUAAAUGCAAACGAUGAUUGAAAUGCGCGAUUUGAAAGGAUCUACGACGACGAGAAUAGAGAAAACGUUGCUUGAGGUUUGCAAGAAACGUUUCUGAACUUAUAGAUUUAUAGGAUCUAACUUUGGUUUGGUACUUUACGUAUUUUUUCGGGUCGAAUUCUUAUGAAUUCAAAUGCAAAAUGUUUUUCUUUUUUUUAAAUUCUUAGAAAUUAAAAAUUAAAUUUUUUUUAUACAUAAAUAAUUUUAGAAUCCGAGAUAAAAAAAAACUUAUUGAAAGAAACUUUUGAGAUGAUAGUUUAAAAAUAUAAACGAAUAAAAUUCUUAGUUAGGUAGUGAAAUAUACAAUUUUUAAUAAUGUUAUUUAUUUUAAUUAUUUAAAAAUAUUAUUACUAUUUAAUAGAUAAAAGUUAAAAUCAUUUUGUUUGAGAAAAAAUCUUUGAUUUAUAUUUUAUUUUUUAAAUUUUAGGUCAUAUUUUUAAUAGAAUGUAAUUAAUUAACGAAUUAUAAAUGAAACUAAAUCAGUUUCAAAAUAAGCUUCACGAGACCUUUGAUCGAAAAUAUGAGUAAAAAUACUUUACCAAAGUUUAGCAUUCCAUUUUAAGAAUAGAGACGUGAGUAUUAUAGGUAGCUACGUAGGAAACGUGUACACGGAGUUUAAUUUCGCGAUUGUUUUGUAUUCCUGCGAGCGAUGUCUUAGUUUCUAAAAAUUCAGAUAAUAACUUUUUAUAUAGAAUCGAUAAUAAUAAUAACAAAGUGACGGUGACAGAAUGAUUGCUUCGAGGAACGAUUUAUUUAAAAAUCUCUUUUCCCUUACGCGUUAAUUAAAACAAAAAGUACGAGGGAAAGUAUCGUUAAUUUUUCAACCAAUUUUUUAUUCAUUGUUACAUAUAAUAAUAAUAUUUCAUUUGCAAUGUUAAUUUAUUUGAGCAUAUGAAUAAAAUUAAUUCACAAAAUUAAAAAAAAUAUAUAUAUACAAUAUUUGUAUAUAAUACUUCAAAAUUUAUGGAAGUUUAGUAUAGUAGAAAAAAAAUGGAAUAUUUGAAAAAGAUAUUUAAAAUUAUUUCGAUUUUUGAUUUUUGCUACUAGUUCUCACGAGAAAUACACACUUAAAUUUUACUCGAAUUGCUUUCUCGAUUCAUCGAAUUAAUUAGUUCAGAAAUGAACAAAUCUGAGACAAACGAAGAAAAGUCGGACAAGUUUUCGGGGACGCACGAGUUGAAAAUGCCAUUUUUAAUUGGACCACUAUACGCAAUAUGAUAUUUCUUUCUGUCGUAAAAAUGUAUGUAACAUAUCUACAAAAUAUACAAAUAAUUACGCGAGAAUUAAAAAAUCGAUGAACUACAGCUGUUCGAUCAAUUUACGAAUAAUUAUUAAAUUGGAUUUAAUUAAUGUCGAGGAACGCGACUUAAAUUAAUCGUAUUACACGUCUGCUUCUUUGGUCAAGGGACUAAAAUACGAGAUCCUCAAUGACUUUGUAAUUAAUCGUUGCAAAUUAUUCGACUUUCUCGCACUUAUCUAUCAGUCGAAAAAAAUUGAUCCACAUAUCGGGUUUUGGACGUUGAGAUUUUUAUAAUUAAUUUUAUAAGUUUACAACACAAUUGAACAUGUAGAACAUGUAGGACAUGAUAAAGUUAUUCUUUUUAAUAUAGAUAAUAUAAAUGGCACUUAUGAAAAUAGUUUUAAGAUUCUUCUUUUUUUCUUUCUUUUUUUUUUUUUUUUUUUUUUUGGAAAGAAUUUAAAAAUUUGCAUAAUCAAAGUCGAAUUAGUUUUGCUUAGAUUUCCCUUGGAACAUUUAUAUUAUACAUGCGUACGAUUUAAAGAAUGAAACUUAGGUUAGGAUAAUUUGUAAACCUAUUUCUUAUUACUGGUAAUUAAUAUAUAUUCUCCAAUUCCUUAUUAAUUUUGAUAUUUAUUACUCGUAUUGAACGUAUCGUAGGAGAUAGGAACACAGUUGCAAAUUGUGAACUGAAAGAUAUUUAUGUAAGGACAAAGAGAUUUCCAACGAAAUUCUGAUAUGAGUUAAAUUUGAUUAAAUCCCUAUAUAUAAUUUAACAUAUUUUUCAAUUAUUAUGUUACAUGGAAUUUUAAUUUGAUGAUUUACUCUUUAAAACGUGAUUCUUUUUUUCUUUUUUUUUUGUUUUUUUUUUUAUUUUUUUAAUAACAAAACAGUUAUUACUUCGUAUAACUGUCUUUUCUAUGUAUUAUUACUCGUAUCACGUGUUUUAUGACGAUUGUACAAUUAUUCAGUACCAAAAAUUUCGUUCUGCUUAAAAUUAAAAGGUUCGUUCAAAUAUAGCAACAAUAUUUCAGACGCGAUUUCUUCGAGAUUUAUUAAACCGCGAAGGGGUAUCAUCGUCAAACUGUACAAUUUUCCAAUAUCUCUCUACUUUCUACGUACAAUCCAUUUGGAAAUUCGUCAACUUUUUUUCUUUAUACCAAAACUGACAAAAGAGAGCUGAGAGGCGUGUGCUGGUGUUUGGAUAUGCAAAUAAAUAUACGAGUCUCGGUCAUCGAGUAUUCGACUCGAUCGAUUUUCUCUUUUUGAUUAAUGUUUCGAUCUUAAAAUAAAGAAAUUUAUAGAGAGAACAUUUUUUACUGCAAGAUAUAAUCAAUAACGGUUAAAUGAAGAAAAUUUUUUUAUAUAAACAAAAAAAAACAAAA